CACACCGCCCGUCACACCAUGGGAGUUUGUUGCACCAGAAGCAGGUAGCCUAACCGCAAGGGGGGCGCUUGCCACGGUGUGGCCGAUGACUGGGGUGAAGUCGUAACAAGGUACCC
rnacentral:rRNA from 1 species